GUCUUUUUGAGUUAUUUUUAAAGUCUAACCUGCCCACUGAAAAAUUUUAAAUGGCCGCAGUAUUUUAACUGUGCAAAGGUAGCAUAAUCAUUAGUCUUUUAAUUGAAGGCUGGUAUGAACGGUUGGACAAAGUAUAAGCUGUUUCAUAUAAAAUUUUAUUAGAAUUUUAUAUUUUAGUUAAAAAGCUAAAAUUUUUUUAAAAGACGAGAAGACCCUAUAAAUCUUUAUAUUUAAUAUAAUUCAAGUUUUUUUGAUUAAUUUUAUUUUUAUUAUUUUAAAUAUUUUGUUGGGGUGAUGUUAAAAUUUAAUAAACUUUUAAUUUUGAAUUAAAUCAUUAAUUUAUGAAUAAUUGAUCCAUUAUUAAUGAUUAUAAGAUUAAGUUACUUUAGGGAUAACAGCGUAAUUUUUUUUGAGAGUUCAUAUCGACAAAAAAGUUUGCGACCUCGAUGUUGGAUUAAGAUAUAAAUUUAGGUGUAGCUGCUUAAACAUUAAGUCUGUUCGACUUUUAAAUUCUUACAU
rnacentral:rRNA from 1 species